UGAGGAAUCUUGCGCAAUGGGGGCAACCCUGACGCAGCCACGCCGCGUGGAGGACGACACCCCUAUGGGGCGUAAACUCCUUUUCUGCGGGAAGAACGCCGGCCUCGGGCCGGGAUGACGGUACCGCAGGAAUAAGCACCGGCUAACUCCGUGCCAGCAGCCGCGGUAAUACGGAGGGUGCAAGCGUUGUCCGGAUUUAUUGGGUGUAAAGGGUGUGUAGGCGGGGCCGUAAGUCAGGGGUGAAAGGCCGCAGCUCAACUGCGGGACUGCCUUUGAUACUGCGGUCCUUGAGUGUCGGAGGGGCCACUAGAAUUCGUGGUGUAGCGGUGAAAUGCGUAGAUAUCACGAGGAAUACCAGAGGCGUAGGCGGGUGGCUGGACGACAACUGACGCUGAGGCACGAAAGCGUGGGGAGCGAACAGG
rnacentral:rRNA from 1 species